rnacentral:rRNA from 7 species
AGCGUACACGGUGGAUGCCCUGGCAGUCAGAGGCGAUGAAGGACGUGCUAAUCUGCGAUAAGCGUCGGUAAGGUGAUAUGAACCGUUAUAACCGGCGAUUUCCGAAUGGGGAAACCCAGUGUGUUUCGACACACUAUCAUUAACUGAAUCCAUAGGUUAAUGAGGCGAACCGGGGGAACUGAAACAUCUAAGUACCCCGAGGAAAAGAAAUCAACCGAGAUUCCCCCAGUAGCGGCGAGCGAACGGGGAGGAGCCCAGAGCCUGAAUCAGUGUGUGUGUUAGUGGAAGCGUCUGGAAAGGCGCGCGAUACAGGGUGACAGCCCCGUACACAAAAAUACACAUAUUGUGAGCUCGAUGAGUAGGGCGGGACACGUGGUAUCCUGUCUGAAUAUGGGGGGACCAUCCUCCAAGGCUAAAUACUCCUGACUGACCGAUAGUGAACCAGUACCGUGAGGGAAAGGCGAAAAGAACCCCGGCGAGGGGAGUGAAAAAGAACCUGAAACCGUGUACGUACAAGCAGUGGGAGCACGCUUAGGCGUGUGACUGCGUACCUUUUGUAUAAUGGGUCAGCGACUUAUAUUCUGUAGCAAGGUUAACCGAAUAGGGGAGCCGAAGGGAAACCGAGUCUUAACUGGGCGUUAAGUUGCAGGGUAUAGACCCGAAACCCGGUGAUCUAGCCAUGGGCAGGUUGAAGGUUGGGUAACACUAACUGGAGGACCGAACCGACUAAUGUUGAAAAAUUAGCGGAUGACUUGUGGCUGGGGGUGAAAGGCCAAUCAAACCGGGAGAUAGCUGGUUCUCCCCGAAAGCUAUUUAGGUAGCGCCUCGUGAAUUCAUCUCCGGGGGUAGAGCACUGUUUCGGCAAGGGGGUCAUCCCGACUUACCAACCCGAUGCAAACUGCGAAUACCGGAGAAUGUUAUCACGGGAGACACACGGCGGGUGCUAACGUCCGUCGUGAAGAGGGAAACAACCCAGACCGCCAGCUAAGGUCCCAAAGUCAUGGUUAAGUGGGAAACGAUGUGGGAAGGCCCAGACAGCCAGGAUGUUGGCUUAGAAGCAGCCAUCAUUUAAAGAAAGCGUAAUAGCUCACUGGUCGAGUCGGCCUGCGCGGAAGAUGUAACGGGGCUAAACCAUGCACCGAAGCUGCGGCAGCGACGCUUAUGCGUUGUUGGGUAGGGGAGCGUUCUGUAAGCCUGCGAAGGUGUGCUGUGAGGCAUGCUGGAGGUAUCAGAAGUGCGAAUGCUGACAUAAGUAACGAUAAAGCGGGUGAAAAGCCCGCUCGCCGGAAGACCAAGGGUUCCUGUCCAACGUUAAUCGGGGCAGGGUGAGUCGACCCCUAAGGCGAGGCCGAAAGGCGUAGUCGAUGGGAAACAGGUUAAUAUUCCUGUACUUGGUGUUACUGCGAAGGGGGGACGGAGAAGGCUAUGUUGGCCGGGCGACGGUUGUCCCGGUUUAAGCGUGUAGGCUGGUUUUCCAGGCAAAUCCGGAAAAUCAAGGCUGAGGCGUGAUGACGAGGCACUACGGUGCUGAAGCAACAAAUGCCCUGCUUCCAGGAAAAGCCUCUAAGCAUCAGGUAACAUCAAAUCGUACCCCAAACCGACACAGGUGGUCAGGUAGAGAAUACCAAGGCGCUUGAGAGAACUCGGGUGAAGGAACUAGGCAAAAUGGUGCCGUAACUUCGGGAGAAGGCACGCUGAUAUGUAGGUGAAGUCCCUUGCGGAUGGAGCUGAAAUCAGUCGAAGAUACCAGCUGGCUGCAACUGUUUAUUAAAAACACAGCACUGUGCAAACACGAAAGUGGACGUAUACGGUGUGACGCCUGCCCGGUGCCGGAAGGUUAAUUGAUGGGGUCAGCGCAAGCGAAGCUCUUGAUCGAAGCCCCGGUAAACGGCGGCCGUAACUAUAACGGUCCUAAGGUAGCGAAAUUCCUUGUCGGGUAAGUUCCGACCUGCACGAAUGGCGUAAUGAUGGCCAGGCUGUCUCCACCCGAGACUCAGUGAAAUUGAACUCGCUGUGAAGAUGCAGUGUACCCGCGGCAAGACGGAAAGACCCCGUGAACCUUUACUAUAGCUUGACACUGAACAUUGAGCCUUGAUGUGUAGGAUAGGUGGGAGGCUUUGAAGUGUGGACGCCAGUCUGCAUGGAGCCGGCCUUGAAAUACCACCCUUUAAUGUUUGAUGUUCUAACGUGGACCCGUGAUCCGGGUUGCGGACAGUGUCUGGUGGGUAGUUUGACUGGGGCGGUCUCCUCCUAAAGAGUAACGGAGGAGCACGAAGGUUGGCUAAUCCUGGUCGGACAUCAGGAGGUUAGUGCAAUGGCAUAAGCCAGCUUGACUGCGAGCGUGACGGCGCGAGCAGGUGCGAAAGCAGGUCAUAGUGAUCCGGUGGUUCUGAAUGGAAGGGCCAUCGCUCAACGGAUAAAAGGUACUCCGGGGAUAACAGGCUGAUACCGCCCAAGAGUUCAUAUCGACGGCGGUGUUUGGCACCUCGAUGUCGGCUCAUCACAUCCUGGGGCUGAAGUAGGUCCCAAGGGUAUGGCUGUUCGCCAUUUAAAGUGGUACGCGAGCUGGGUUUAGAACGUCGUGAGACAGUUCGGUCCCUAUCUGCCGUGGGCGCUGGAGAACUGAGGGGGGCUGCUCCUAGUACGAGAGGACCGGAGUGGACGCAUCACUGGUGUUCGGGUUGUCAUGCCAAUGGCACUGCCCGGUAGCUAAAUGCGGAAGAGAUAAGUGCUGAAAGCAUCUAAGCACGAAACUUGCCCCGAGAUGAGUUCU